GAUGAACGCUGGCGGCGUGCCUAAUACAUGCAAGUCGAGCGAACAGACGAGGAGCUUGCUCCUCUGACGUUAGCGGCGGACGGGUGAGUAACACGUGGAUAACCUACCUAUAAGUCCGGGAUAACUUCGGGAAACCGGAGCUAAUACCGGAUAAUACAUCCAGCCGCAUGGUUCAAUAGUGAAAGACGGUUUUGUUGUCACUUAUAGAUGGAUCCGCGCCGCAUUAGCUAGUUGGUAAGGUAACGGCUUACCAAGGCAACGAUGCGUAGCCGACCUGAGAGGGUGAGCGGCCACACUAGAGCUGAGACACGGUCCGGACUCCUGCGAGAGGCAGCAGUCGGGAGUCUUGCAGAAUGGGCGAAAACCGGACGGAGCGACACAGCGUGAGUGAUGAAGGCCGCGGGAUCGUUGAACGCUGUUGUUGGGUAAGAAGCAAUGUGUAGGUAACAAGGCUCGUCGUGACGGUACCUAAAGAAGAAGCACCGGCUAACUACGUG
rnacentral:rRNA from 1 species